ensembl:lncRNA
UGUGGACAAGGACAGACCAUUUUCCAAGUGUGUGAAAUGUUUUGAAGCAGCUUUCUAAUGAAAGAAUGAGCCUAGCAUUCUUAAAAAGUCGUUUGGAAGCAAAAUAUGAAAACCGAACAAGCUGUGUGGAUUAAAAAAAGCAACAAAAGCAACAAGCAAAAGAUUCACUUCGCGAUAACCUGCUUAACAUCUCUGGAGGUACUCGAGGCAAAUAAUUUAGGUUGAAGUGGGUCAGCUGAUGAAAAAGUUCAGGAACCCUGGCUUUAAAUAUAUAACUGUCUGAAAGUGUUCAGCAAUUUCACCUUCAUUAAUGUUCAUGUGCCCCCUUUGAAGCCUUCAUACCACCAGGCUUGCAGUCACUGGGGGUCAAAAUAAGAAUUUAUCUGACGAACAUUAAUCCUUCUGGUCAACUGUAAUUAAUUUUCAGCCCCGUAGCUGCCUUGUAAACACAAUGAAAAAGCACUGCUGCCGUCUUGUUAAAGCCAUCAAUGCAAUUUUAUUACAGUUUCAUUCCUUCAUCCUCCUUGUUGAAAUUGUGCUUUCAUAUGAGUUUAUAAACGGAACACACAAAACAACUGAAGGGAAGUGAGGAAAAGUAGCCUGCCUGCUGAGUCAUGACCUCUGGGCUAACCUCUGUCUGUUCAGCAUCUUUUCUUAGCAUCACGUACAAUUAGCAUCCCAUACAUCUUUUCUUAGCAUCACAUGUAAUUAGCAUCCCAUACAUCUUUUCUUAGCAUCACAUGCAAUUAGCAUCACAUCUUUUCUUAGCAUCACGUACAAAUAGCAUCCCAUGCAUCUUUUCUUAGCAUCACAUACAAUUAAUAUCCUAUACAUCUUUUCUUAACAUCACAUACAAUUAGCAUCAUGUACAAUUAGCAUUAUGUACAUCUUUUCUUAGCAUCACAUACAAUUAUCAUCACAUACAAUUUGCAUCACAUACAUCUUUUUCUUAGCAUCACAUACAAUUAGCAUCACGUACAAUUAGCAUUAUAUACAUCUUUUCUUAGCAUCACAUACAAUUAGCAUCACAUCUUUUCUUAGCACCACAUACAAUUAUCAUCACAUACAAUUUGCAUCACAUACAUCUUUUUCUUAGCAUCACAUACAAUUAGCAUCACGUACAAUUAGCA